rnacentral:rRNA from 1 species
UACAGAGGGUGCAAGCGUUGUUCGGAUUCAUUGGGCGUAAAGGGUGCGUAGGCGGCGCGGUAAGUCGGGUGUGAAAUCUCGGGGCUUAACUCCGAAACUGCAUUCGAUACUGCCGUGCUUGAGGACUGGAGAGGAGACUGGAAUUUACGGUGUAGCGGUGAAAUGCGUAGAUAUCGUAAGGAAGACCAGUGGCGAAGGCGGGUCUCUGGACAGUUCCUGACGCUGAGGCACGAAGGCCAGGGGAGCAAACGGG